rnacentral:rRNA from 1 species
UUGAACGCUGGCGGCAGGCCUAACACAUGCAAGUCGAGCGGUAGCACAGAGAGCUUGCUCUCGGGUGACGAGCGGCGGACGGGUGAGUAAUGUCUGGGAAACUGCCUGAUGGAGGGGGAUAACUACUGGAAACGGUAGCUAAUACCGCAUAAUGUCGCAAGACCAAAGUGGGGGACCUUCGGGCCUCAUGCCAUCAGAUGUGCCCAGAUGGGAUUAGCUAGUAGGUGGGGUAACGGCUCACCUAGGCGACGAUCCCUAGCUGGUCUGAGAGGAUGACCAGCCACACUGGAACUGAGACACGGUCCAGACUCCUACGGGAGGCAGCAGUGGGGAAUAUUGCACAAUGGGCGCAAGCCUGAUGCAGCCAUGCCGCGUGUGUGAAGAAGGCCUUCGGGUUGUAAAGCACUUUCAGCGGGGAGGAAGGCGUUAAGGUUAAUAACCUUGGCGAUUGACGUUACCCGCAGAAGAAGCACCGGCUAACUCCGUGCCAGCAGCCGCGGUAAUACGGAGGGUGCAAGCGUUAAUCGGAAUUACUGGGCGUAAAGCGCACGCAGGCGGUCUGUCAAGUCGGAUGUGAAAUCCCCGGGCUCAACCUGGGAACUGCAUUCGAAACUGGCAGGCUAGAGUCUUGUAGAGGGGGGUAGAAUUCCAGGUGUAGCGGUGAAAUGCGUAGAGAUCUUGAGGAAUACCGGUGGCGAAGGCGGCCCCCUGGACAAAGACUGACGCUCAGGUGCGAAAGCGUGGGGAGCAAACAGGAUUAGAUACCCUGGUAGUCCACGCCGUAAACGAUGUCGAUUUGGAGGUUGUGCCCUUGAGGCGUGGCUUCCGGAGCUAACGCGUUAAAUCGACCGCCUGGGGAGUACGGCCGCAAGGUUAAAACUCAAAUGAAUUGACGGGGGCCCGCACAAGCGGUGGAGCAUGUGGUUUAAUUCGAUGCAACGCGAAGAACCUUACCUGGUCUUGACAUCCACAGAACUUUCCAGAGAUGGAUUGGUGCCUUCGGGAACUGUGAGACAGGUGCUGCAUGGCUGUCGUCAGCUCGUGUUGUGAAAUGUUGGGUUAAGUCCCGCAACGAGCGCAACCCUUAUCCUUUGUUGCCAGCGGUUCGGCCGGGAACUCAAAGGAGACUGCCAGUGAUAAACUGGAGGAAGGUGGGGAUGACGUCAAGUCAUCAUGGCCCUUACGACCAGGGCUACACACGUGCUACAAUGGCAUAUACAAAGAGAAGCGACCUCGCGAGAGCAAGCGGACCUCAUAAAGUAUGUCGUAGUCCGGAUUGGAGUCUGCAACUCGACUCCAUGAAGUCGGAAUCGCUAGUAAUCGUAGAUCAGAAUGCUACGGUGAAUACGUUCCCGGGCCUUGUACACACCGCCCGUCACACCAUGGGAGUGGGUUGCAAAAGAAGUAGGUAGCUUAACCUUCGGGAGGGCGCUUACCACUUUGUGAUUCAUGACUGGGGUG